GCCAGGGAUCAAACUCGAACCACAGCAGCAACCCAAGCCACUGCAGGGACAGCACUAGAUCCUUCACCCGUGGCACCACAAGAGAACUGCAGGGAUGUGAGUUUUUAAUCUUGCAGGUGGACAAAGCUGUCUCCGGGAUGCAGAGUCUCCCCUUGAUCUCAUUCUCCUUCCUCCUUUCUCCCCGAGCCAACCACGAACCCGUGGUCCCUGCCACCACCCUCCACACCGUCAGCAGGAGGACACCUGCCCUUGCAAAGCCAGAGAGCCCCUCCCACCAUCUGUGUGCAGCCGCCCCAGCCCUUGGGCUUCCUGCUCAGUGAGGAGGACUCUGGAACUGUGGUUUGUCGGAAACGCAGAGAAAAGCCCCGUGGGCCAUGCCCUGUGACUGAACAAAGAAUCAGAAACUCGUUGGUCUGGACCCGGGAUGGAGCCACAUGGACGGUCGCCUCCCUGCGACAGACACUGUCACGUACACACCUGUAGCCUGCAGGUGCUGCCGAAUUCUCAAAGCCGGUCCUGAAGUUAAUCUACUGAAAUUGGGAACUCAGAGAUCACCCCUUUGAAGGUUUCUCGGCAGAGCCGUGAACUGGUUGUCCUGUUCCCCCUGGAGCACUGGGCACAUCCACUCCCACAGAUCCUCAAAUGCCUCGGGCUCCCACAGACUCAUCGAGAAUGUCCCUCUGACAGCGGAAGCAGAACCUUCGCGGCAGCGCGGAUUUCCCUCUCUCGGGUGACUCGCGUAAUUAAGCACGUGUUGGGGCUCAGCAGCCCGGACUCCGUCUCUGUCGCACUCCAUCCUUCUUCACCCCUCCCCAGGCCCUGUUGUUGUUCCUCCGACGGAGUCCCCUCCACCUCUGAUGCCCCUUUCCCCCCGCCCCACGGCAUCGGCCCACCUCGGGUCCCCGCCCCACCAAGCAACUGUCUUGUCACUGUUACCAUGUCCAUCUUAUAACUGAGAGCAUGUGAGCACAGCCUGGAAAGGACUGAUGAUAAGGAGCCACUCGGGAAGGGUUCAAGGAGGACUGUGGUCUAGGGAAA